CACCUACGUUUAAAAAAAGCUUUGUCUCAAAGUGUUAUUUCCAGCUGCUUCAAUGUUUCCCCUGUUAUCCGUUUAUGUCAACGUUCAGUUGACUCUGGUGGUUCAUAACUUCGUAUUUCACAAUAUGUGAUUACUCAACCCGUGCUCUUCUGCCUACCAUCGCCCCACAACAUAAAAGGGUGUUUAUGGUUGUGCUUUUCCUGCUGGAGCAAUGUUGUUGGGGAAAUCCAGCAAAAGCAGCUUACUAGACUCGAGACUCUUCAGUGUCUCACACUCGGCCUUUAAUUCAGAUGCAACCAUUGUGUUCAUCCAAACCCUGCAUUACUGAGAGAGUGCCUGAAGGCUGCACCAAGUCUGGAGGCAUUCCUUCGCUCCUGAAGGACACAAAGGUUGGCAGAACCCACUCUUCCAUCCCUGCUCGUGGCUGCAAGUGGCAGACUGGGUUUUGGUUUGAAAAUGAGUGAUCGAUAUAGCGUCAAGGAGCAAGAAGAGCUAUUAUUCAAGUUUCCUUCUCGGCAAGAAUUCUGAAUUACGUGCUGCCUGUGUUAGGAAUUUGCUUUUUACAAUGGAGAAACCACCUGCAAGUUUUCCUGGGAAUUGCAAUCAACAGAAUUACCAUUUGCAGAACAGCUUAGUAUUUUGGCUUUUACUUAUUUAGCAUCUGCCUGACACAUCCCCCAGCCCUCCAGUAUGGACAACAAGGAACUUUUGAUUUCUAGGCUUCCAUCUCUGCAAAGAAUGAAACUGGAACAGUUCAAAUGCUGUUUCACCCAUCUGAAGACGACGAUAUUGUGUCUGAAACACUCUGCAUUUAUGCUUCAAAAAGACUUAUCUCCCUUCACCCAGUCAAUACCAGUAUUACCCAUUUUUCAUUCUAACCAUAUUCUUGCUAUGGAACAGUAAGCAAAAAUUAAUUUGCGUGUAUGAGCUGGACUAACUGCAUAUACCUUUGAAAUGACAGCUUUAUACAGUAUUAUUACAAGCCCAAAUAAGUAAAAAACUGAGCACAGAUGUCAUAUUUUGCAACUGAGUGAAACUACAACAUUAAUGCUCAG